UAGGGAAUCUUCCGCAAUGGACGCAAGUCUGACGGAGCAACGCCGCGUGAGUGAAGAAGGAUUUCGGUUCGUAAAACUCUGUUGUUAGAGAAGAACAGCGCAUAGAGUAACUGUUAUGCGUGUGACGGUAUCUAACCAGAAAGCCACGGCUAACUACGUGCCAGCAGCCGCGGUAAUACGUAGGUGGCAAGCGUUGUCCGGAUUUAUUGGGCGUAAAGCGAGCGCAGGCGGUCAAUUAAGUCUGAUGUGAAAGCCCCCGGCUCAACCGGGGAGGGUCAAUGGAAACUGGUUGACUUGAGUGCAGAAGAGGAGAGUGGAAGUCCAUGUGUAGCAGUGAAAUGCGUAGAUAUAUGGAGGAACACCAGUGGCGAAAGCGGCUCUCUGGUCUGUAACUGACGCUGAGGCUCGAAAGCGUGGGGAGCGAACAGG
rnacentral:rRNA from 1 species